rnacentral:tRNA from 1 species
AGAGUACAAAGCUUGUACAGCAUCUAACUGUUAAUUAGAAGAUCACGAGUUUAAUUCUCGUUUACUCUA